AAAAAACAAAUAUUUUAAGCUCUUUGACUUGGCAAAUACACUGUGAAGUGAUAUGAUUAGUAAUGCUAUGUGUUUUUCUCAACAGUCAAGUGAGUUGCCAAAGCAAAUAUUUCACCAAAGUUUGACAGGAAAGAAAGACUAUGCAAAACCACUGUAAUAGAGAUGAGAGGCCAGAACUCUGUGCUAAAAUAAAGGAGCUGGACCACAGAUUUUUGUGUUUCUCAGCAGCAUGGGGGCAAAGGAGCAAGACAUGAGUGUCCUGUUUCAAAUGCCAGUGUGUACUGAAAUCCAACUUGUACACUGACCAUCCAGACUUAGCACAGACUUCACAAGGACUCUUUCCUCUGCAGGACCACCCUCACUUCAAAUCCCAGCUGCAAGUUGGGUCCACAGGCCACCUGCACUAGUGACAGACUGCCUACAAAUUCAGAGGUUCCCAUAAUACCCUCCAGGUUUGAUAGUUUUCUGUAAUGACCCAAAGAACUUCAGAAAGUGCUAUAAUUAAUGAUUAUAUUUUCUUAUCAAGGAUACAAAUCAGGACAACCAUAAAAUCAAAGAAAAAUGAAGAGAUGCAUUGGGUGAGGAUGCGGAGCAAACAGAGUUCUUUUCCUGUCACAUUACUAUGAUCUGAAUCUUUGUGAUUAUAUUGGAUCCACCUGUACAAUCCAGACUAAUCUUCUGUAUUAGUCCAUUUUCACACUGCUGAUAAAAUACCCGAGACUGGGCAAUUUACAAAAGGUUUAAUGGGCUUAUAGUUCCACAUGACUGGAGAGGCCUCAUAAUUAUGGUGGAAGGCAAGAAGGAGUAAGUCACAUCUUACGAGGAUGGCAGCAGGCAAAAAGAGAGCUUAUGCAGCGAAACUCCCCUUUUUAAAAACAUCAUAUCUCGUGACACUUAUUCACUAGCAUAAAAACAGCACUGGAAAGACCUGCCCCCACGAUUCAGUUACCUCCAACUAGGUCCCUCCCACAACAUGUGGUAAUUCAAAAUGAGAUUUGAGUGGGGUCACAGCCAAACCAUAUCAUUUUCCUAUUUUAAAAUCAGUUGAUUAGCAACUUUAAUUCUAUCUGCACCUUUAAUUCUCCUUUGUUAUGGAACAUAUCAUAUUACCAGGGAAUUACAAGAUGGGCUUCUUUGUGAGGCCAUUAUUCUGCCUGCCACACUACUUAAAUGUCUACUGUAGCUUGGGUUGUAAUAAUUGUAUUUGUCCUGAAGAACCAGAUUUUUGUGCUGUAUCAUCUGUGCAAACUUAAUAAGGGCAAAAGGUAUAUCAUCAGCUUUCUGUCACUCCCUACCUCACUUCCAAUUUAUUUUGCCAACAUCUCUGUUUUGGGCAGGCCAGUCAUAGUGGCAGCUCUACCCAUAACCUGCUUCUGAGAUAAAUUGCCUAAUCACAUCCUCUGCAAAGGGAGCAGUCCAUGUGCUUCUCUUGCUGGCCAUGAUCUCUUCACUGCAGCUGCUUGGUGUAGAGUGAACAUGUGACAGCAAGACGAUCAAUUUAAAUGAUGAUUGGUUCAAGCAGUUCUAAUAGUCUUCAAAUAUCUAUUAUCUACAUUCUGAUUUAACCAAAAAGCCAUCAUUUUUAGGGGUGAACAUUGCUACAAGUUGCAGGCCUCUUUAUAUCUUCCUGUGUCUAUCGCCUGGUUUUUGGACAAUGUGAUAGAAGGAUCAGUGUUGUGUGGAGUUGUUGUUGGGUUUGAUUAAAAGAGAUAUCCUUCAACUUAUGUUUUUCCUUUUUAUUGCUUUGUGGAACAAAAAUAUAGUGAUGCAACCUUAUGAACCAUCUGGCACCAUGAUGUGACCUUGGAAGAGCAACAAGAAAAUAACAAUACUGGCUCUUUUAUGUGCAACCGACACAGUAGAUCUGGAACUCUACCCACAACAGUGUGCUGGUAAAUGCUUAACCACCAGUUCCUUAGGUAUAAUGACCUUAUUUAUAGUGCUUUUUGAUUUAUGAGGAGUAAAUAUUCCUAUCAUAUGGCAUAUAUCACUGAAUGUAGAGCUGGGAAGAGAUGUACACAAUUAGAUCGUGGAAACCAGUUCUAGUAAACUCUAAUGUGGGAAAAGUAAAC
rnacentral:lncRNA from 1 species